rnacentral:tRNA from 1 species
UGGUGUGUAUCCCAGUGGUAGAGAACGUGCCUAACAUGCAUGAGUCCAUGUGUUCAAUCCCCAGUACCAUAA